AACACAGAUGACUUAAAACAGGUAAGGAAUAAAAACUAGCAAUUAAAAGGAGAUUAUAUAAUACAUACUUAAAAAGAUAGAAACAGGGACAAACAGUUAAAAACAACUAUAAGGGAGGGAGUGUGAAGGAGCACAGGUCAUGCAUUUUGGGCCUAGUUUGUGGCGCAAACCAUCCUUCGACAAAUAUCCAUCAUGGCAGCGAAGAAUUUAGCUAGCAACUGAGUAUGUAGCAUUUGGGUUUUCAUCCUGAAGAAGCAGGGAAGUAUAAAGUUCGGUGCGACCUGGGAAUUUAUGUAGUACAGUGGUACCUCUGGUUAAGAACGUAAUUCGUUCUGGAGGUCCGUUCUUAACCUGAAACUGUUUUAAUCUGAGGUACCACUUUAGCUAAUGGGGCCUCCUGCUGCCGCCAUGCGAUUUCUGUUCUCAUCCUGAGGUAAAAUUCUUAACCCGAGGUACUACUUCUGGGUUAGCAGAGUCUGUAACCUGAAGCGUCUGUAACCCGAGGUACCACUGUAUAGGCAAGAUGAACCUAGCUCGUAUAUCUAUACUGGCAUUGAAAAAAGACAUGUUCUGUUUCUAGUUGCCCAGAGCCACAUGGGCCUUUCCUUUCCUCAUACGGUGUCUCCCUAAAGCAGCCUUCCUGAAUGGCUGAAGGAAGGGCCUGGCAGCAGGCCAGAGUGAAAGCCCUUCGCUGUUUUGGAAUUUCAAGGGACUCAAGAGUCUCUAGUCCUAGACACACUCACCUGGGAGAAAGUUUCAUUGAACACAGUGUGACCUAUUCUGGAAUUAAACCUGCAUAAAUUGUGCUGUAAAUUAGUCUGGCUCGUUCCCCUCUGUUAAUCUAUAUAUACAGACCUCAGUAAUUGUAAGAGAGUCAGCAAUUAAAACAGGGGUUAAGAAUAAACAGUGUUCUGCAGCAGUACUUUGAUGCACAGUCUCUUCUUGAGUUUAAUGUAUUAGUUUCUAGUAAGCAAAGGGGAAAGCUGCAACAAUUGAAUAAAAAAAAUGUAAAAAAGCUACAGAGUGAGCUGUAAAUAUUAACCUUUUUAGCAGAGUUAAAUUACUAUUUAUUUGCAUAGCCUAUUUAUUGCAUUCUUCUAAACACUGUUAGAUACUGGGGCACUGUCAACAAAUAGAGGAGAGACUACUUGCAUUGUCCAUUCUACCAUCUCUAGAGUGCCCUCAUGGUGUCAACUUGCAUUAACAGUAAUAGACUAGAUUGCCCAAGCCAAGGUUAUUUGCCUAACUUCUCAGGGACCACACCUUGUACUUAUCCAACAUUAUUAGAACUGGUAUGUAUGAAAUGCUCUGAUUUACCAGGAUCACGGUUGCCAAUGUAUUCCUUUACAUAUUUCAUGCUUGUUGGCCUCUGUAUAUAUCAUUGUGUUGUGUAUUUAUGAGAGCUAAGAAGCAAUUGCUAAUAAGCAAUAAUUUAUAUGUCGAAAUGGCCAAGCAAUACGAAGGUAAAACUUGUAAAAGCAAAUGUUAAUGUUUAAACUUUUUUAAUAUUGCUUUUCAAAAUAUAAAACCAUAUUAAUUAAA